rnacentral:rRNA from 1 species
GAGUUUGAUCAUGGCUCAGAUUGAACGCUGGCGGUAGGCUUAACACAUGCAAGUCGUGCGAGAAAGUAUCUUCGGGUAUGAGUAGAGCGGCGGACGGGUGAGUAACGCGUAGGAAUCUACCUAGUAGAAGGGGAUAGCCCGGGGAAACCCGGAUUAAUACCGUAUACCUCCUUCGGGAGAAAGAAGGCCUCUCUUUGAAGCUUUCGCUAUUAGAUGAGCCUGCGUAAGAUUAGCUUGUUGGUGAGGUAAAGGCUCACCAAGGCGACGAUCUUUAGCUGGUCUGAGAGGACGAUCAGCCACAUUGGGACUGAGACACGGCCCAGACUCCUACGGGAGGCAGCAGUGGGGAAUAUUGGACAAUGGGCGCAAGCCUGAUCCAGCCAUACCGCGUGUGUGAAGAAGGCCUUCGGGUUGUAAAGCACUUUAAGCAGGGAGAAAAAGUUAUAAGUUAAUACCUUAUAACCCUGAUGUUACCUGCAGAAUAAGCACCGGCUAAUUCCGUGCCAGCAGCCGCGGUAAUACGGAAGGUGCAAGCGUUAAUCGGAAUUACUGGGCGUAAAGCGCGCGUAGGUGGUUUGUUAAGUUGGAUGUGAAAGCCCUGGGCUCAACCUAGGAACUGCAUCCAAAACUAACUCACUAGAGUACGAUAGAGGGAGGUAGAAUUCAUAGUGUAGCGGUGGAAUGCGUAGAUAUUAUGAAGAAUACCAGUGGCGAAGGCGGCCUCCUGGAUCUGUACUGACACUGAGGUGCGAAAGCGUGGGUAGCGAACAGGAUUAGAUACCCUGGUAGUCCACGCCGUAAACGAUGACAAUUAGCUGUUGGGAGACUAUGUCUUUCAGUGGCGCAGCUAACGCUUUAAGUUGUCCGCCUGGGGAGUACGGCCGCAAGGCUAAAACUCAAAUGAAUUGACGGGGACCCGCACAAGCGGUGGAGCAUGUGGUUUAAUUCGAUGCAACGCGAAAAACCUUACCUACUCUUGACAUACUAGGAGGCUCUUGUAAUGAGAGUGUGCCUUUUGGAACCAAGAUACAGGUGCUGCAUGGCUGUCGUCAGCUCGUGUCGUGAGAUGUUCCGUUAAGUCGGAUAACGAGCGCAACCCUUACCCUUAUUUGCCAGCGAUUCGGUCGGGAACUAUAAGGGGACUGCCGGUGAUAAACCGGAGGAAGGUGAGGACGACGUCAAGUCAUCAUGGCCCUUACGAGUAGGGCUACACACGUGCUACAAUGGGAGAUACAGACGGACGCUAAGCCGCGAGGUGGUGCUAAUCCUAAAAAGUCUUUCGUAGUCCGGAUUGGAGUCUGCAACUCGACUCCAUGAAGUCGGAAUCGCUAGUAAUCGCGGAUCAGCAUGCCGCGGUGAAUACGUUCUCGGGUCUUGUACACACCGCCCGUCACACCAUGGAAGUGGAUUGCACCAGAAGUAGAUAGUCUAACCUUAGGGAGGGCGUUUACCACAGUGUGCUUCAUGACUGGGGUGAAGUCGUAACAAGGUAACC